GCAGCAGAAAAUCCUCAGCUGUGUGAUCUUCUCCUCCAGCUGUUUGUCUGUGGGAUCCCUGGAGUGGGAAAACUUGGACCAUGAGGAAGGAGAGGUUUGGAAGCAGCCUCAGGGAGGUACAAGUGAUGACAGAGGGACGUGCUCCGUGUCUGGGUUGUGCUGUGCCAAAGCACACCCAGCUGGGCACAGAACAGGAGGAACUUCCUUUGCCCAGGAGGACAAUGGGAACCCAUCACUGCAGGGCUGGGAUGUCACCAAGACGCUGCCCCGCUGCCCCGGGGACACCUGGCCCUAUUUGGGAAUUCCAGUGCAUUUCAACACAGGAGGUAAAUGAUGGACAAAGCCCAAGAAACACCCUUGAAUUCCUGUGACCAGGUUUAAAAGGCUGUGAAACCUGGUGGAAGUUUCUUUUUAAAUUUCCUUCCCUUUCUUUCUUUAAAGUUGUGGUUUCCAUGAAGCAUUUGGGAUGUAAAGUUUGGGAUAACUGAUUUAACCCUGCACCUUUUCUCACCUAUUUGCCCAGUUCUUCCUCUGCUCUUCUCCUGUGUCCAGGCAUCUCAGUCUCUGCUGGGUACCACCUAUUAGUUAACAUUAAAUCAUGUAUUUCUAUUUAUCUGAUACUAAUCCUGGCUUGGUGCCUAUCCUACAUUCUUAAUUCUUUGCAACUGAUAACAUUUUAUGUAGGUAUAUUUAUUUUUUAAUACUCUAUUACAAAACAAAUAAAAAAGGGUGCUAGUGAUAUAGCAGAAAAUAAAAUAAAUAUCAAUGACUUCAUUCUAUUUAAUGUUUUGGCUUUACUUUUCAUACACUUGUAAUAACUGCCACUUUAAUGACCUGUUAUUUUCAUUACCAACUAUCAGAUCAGAUGUGAUUUUGAAAAAACAGUGUAAUUUUCCAGAGAAAUUUGUUUGGGGUAAUAGUAGGAAAUAAUACACUUAAUGAUUUUGCAUAUUUUACUUUCACAGCUCUUCUUAAACAGAAGUUACCUGGAGCUGUCUUUGAGCAGCUCUCAGUAGCCCAGGGCUGCUGCUGGCUUGGGAGGUUUUGUCCCCAGACUGAAUUUCUCCAUCCUUUAGAGUUGACCAAGUUUCUUUUCCUGCCAGGAAAAUUCAGUGUGAAUCCAGGGAUUUGUGGUGACAAGCAGAGGUUUCACAGGGGUGGGAUGAGACCUUUGAGGCUGUCAGGAUGUUUGUAAAUUGUCCCUGUUCAUGGGCACUCAUUGAUGUACCAUGGAUGCAGUGAGAUUAGGAUGUGAUAUAUUUAGAACAGAAAAAAAGCAAAAAUAUCUCCAGGGUUUUACUGGGCUGCACAGCCCAUGGUGAGAUGUGAGAGCCAAGCAAGGAGCUCCCAGGGGGCUGGAACAGGAAAGGUGAAGGUGUCCCAGCAGCACAGCUCUGUGCUGGCAGCCUCCAAAAUGGUUCAAUUUCUGUGUUUCAACCUAAAACCUCUGUUAAUAGGCACAUCUAAUCUCUGUUUGGGCUUCCCAAUUUCUGCAGCUGGUCUGGGUGCCUCUGGCUGGGUGAUUGCUGUGGUGUCACUCAGGCCAUGGCUCAGGUGUGAUGUCACCUCUUUGUUUUUGGCUGUUUCACAGCAGAGAGUGAAUAUUGUUCUGGUUUUGUGCCCUCGUUGCAACAACCCUGAGAUAAAUUCUUCACAAAGGAAACAGUUCAGCAGUGGGAAUUCUGUCCAUGUCAAGC